rnacentral:ncRNA from 1 species
AAAUUGUAUUGCGUACGACCCUGUUGAGUUUGUCUAGUCUGGCAAUGUAAGGAGACAUGAGAGGUGUAGCAUAAGUGGGAGACUUUGUCGCCGGUGAAAUACCACUACUUUCAUUGUUUCUUUACUUACUCGGUGAGGCCGCAGUCCGCCUUCACGGGCGAUCCGCGUGUCGAUCGUCGAUACAUGUACCCCGAUUCGAGGACACUGCCAGGCGGGACGUUUGACUGAGGCGAUACAUCUGUCAAAGAAUAAGGCAGGUGUCCUAAGGCUAGUUCAGCGAGGACAGAAACCUCGCGUAAAGCAUAAUCGUAAAAACUGGCUUGAUCCCAUGUUCAGUACGUAUAGGCAUUGUGAAAGCACGGCCUAUCGAUCCUUUUGGCUUCAGCAAGAGGUGUCACAAAAGUUACCACAAGGAUAACUGGCUUGUGGCGGCCAAGCGUUUAUAGCGACGUCGCUUUUUGAUCCUUCGACGUCGGCUUUUUCUAUCAUUGUGAAGCGGAAUUCGCCAACCGUCGGAUUGUCCACCCGCCAAUAGGGAACGUGAGCUGGGUUUACACCGUCGUGAGACAGGUUAGUUUUAUCCUACUGAUGACCGGUCGUCGCUAUAGUAAUCCUGCUUAGUAUGAGAGGAAGCAUAGGUUUGGACAUUUGGUCCACGCGCUCGCAUGAGCGGGCGGUGGUGCGAAGCUACCAACCGUGGAAUUAUGCCUAAACGCUUCUAAGGCUAUAUGCUUUCUAGUCAAAAGUGGAAACAAUACUCUUAGCAGUUCCGACAGUCUAGAAUAAGGAUUAUUUGUAUUUCUACAAUCUAAGAUAUGAAUUUUCUGAGUUUCGUUUACAAUAUAACUAGUUAAACAAUUUACAUUAUUCCUCGUUUUGUAAUCAUCAAAAUUUUUAGUAAAAUUCCACGUUGUACAGUUGUUUGUGGCGUAAAACGUUAUGAAAAAGCAUCGAAUCUAUGCUACGGCUGUAUUU